GGGCGAUUAGCUCAGUUGGUUAGAGCGCUGCCUUCACACGGCAGAGGUCGGCAGUUCGAGUCUGCCAUCGCCCACCA
rnacentral:tRNA from 1 species